GGAUGUAGCGUAGUCCGGUUAUCGCGCAUGAUUUGGGAUCAUGAGGUCGUGAGUUCGAAUCUCACCAUU
rnacentral:tRNA from 1 species